AGGUGAUUAAGUUAACACUCGAGGUGGAGAGAUAUCCCGUAUUAUCCAGGUGGACCCAAAGUAGUCACAAGGUCCUUUGACAGGAAGGCAGGAGGGUCAGUGUUAGAGUAGAUGAUGACAGAAGCACAGGUCAGAGGUGGCCAUGAGCCGAGGAAUGCAGGUGCCUCUAGAAACUGGGCAAGUCAAGAGAGGAUUCUCCCGUCUCCAGAAGGAACGCAGCCCCGUUGACACCUUGAUCUUAGCCCUGUGAUGACAGAUAUGUAAAUCCUUUAAUCCAAACCAUUGCAUCAUGUUAAGGCUGAUCGGUGAACAGGCUGGAAAGAUUAAGACAAUGGCUCUUCUAAAGAGCAGCUUUGUGGACCGCCACAAUCUCAGCAGAUGGUGCUGAUUCCCAAGCUUGCUAGAGAAUAUGUAUUUGGAGAAGCCAGGAAGAGAGGCUGCCCACUUUGCAGUUUCAAUUUUUGUGUUGAUGUAAUUAAAAAAGAGAACAUCUAUUUUUAAUCUGUGUACUCUGGAUAUUCUCCAUUGGCUCCUCAGACUGACCCUCGACCUGUCAUAGGGCUUCAUGGGCAGAUUCACCCAGGUUCCCCUUCACCCUGGAUUACAGUUGGGUUUGGCCAAUGGAAGGAACAGGCAGAGGAGUAGAGAGUAGGAGGAGAUGACCUCUAGGAAUUAGUCCCUCAUCCCCGCCCCAUGGUUUGGCGGUAGUGUGCUUCCC
rnacentral:lncRNA from 1 species